UGAACAUGAAACUAUUUGGUCGACGUGCCU
rnacentral:sRNA from 1 species